AGGGUAUGUGCCUAUGACUUGAGCCAAAACAGAAUUCAAUCAGUAGGAAAAUCUCAGUAGCAUCACUGGCUUGUACUUUUAGCUGUCCAUUGCGUACAUAUGAUAAUGGAUUUUAGCCAAGUGAAUUGCAGGGUAUUAUAGUCAUUUUCCCUCGGUGCAUAUAUACUCAUCGUGACCAUUGGAUUCCUACAAUCAGAAUCAAACACAAAAUCUCCAUCUCCAGAUCUGUUUUUCCCCAGCUCAGUUGAAGGAAUGCAUAAGGUGCAAAGAUGGAGGACUGCCCUUACUCAAUUGGCCAAUCUGAAAGGCUGUGAUAUCCUCAAUAGGGUUGAAUCAGAGAGCAUUAAGCUGAUUGUCGGCCAAAUUUCUUCAUUAUGCAAGCCACUUUUAUCAUCGCCCCAACAUGUUGUGGCGAGCAUUAAGCUGAUUGUCGGCCAAAUUUCUUCAUUAUGCAAGCCACUUUUAUCAUCACCCCAAGAUGAAUCAGAGAACAUUAAGCUGAUUGUCUGCCAAAUUUCUUCAUUAUGCAAGCCACUUUUAUCAUCACCCCAAGAUGUUGUGGAGAGCAUUAAGCUGAUUGUCGGCCAAAUUCCUUCAUUAUGCAAGCCACUUUUAUCAUCACCCCAAGAUGUUGUGGGUAUAGGAACUCAUUUGGAGCAAGUGAAAUCUCUGCUAUGGAUGGAAAUUAAUGACAUUCGAAUUGUUGGUAUCUUGGGUAUUGGAGGAGUAGGAAAGACGACAGUUAUAAGAGCUGUUUUGAUGAGCUCUCUAAUCAAUUUGAAGCUUCUUGUUUCCUUGCGGAUGUUAAUGAUAACGGAAGCAGAGUUAUCGUAACUACAUCAUAGCAAGUAGACUUCAUUUUAAGAAGGUUCUAAUUGUGCUUGAUGACAUAGAUCAAAGAAGGUUCUAACUGUGCUUGAUGACAUAGAUCAUAUAGACCAUUUGGAUUACUUUGCAGGGAAUCUUGGUUGGUUUGGUAAUAACAGUAGGAUUAUCAUAACAACAUAGCAAACAGACUUCGUUUUAAGAAAGUUCUAAUUGUGCUUGAUGACAUACAUCAUAUAGACCAUUUGAAAUACUUUGACGGAGAUCCUAGUUGAUUUGGUAACGGUAGUAGAAUUUAUAACAACUAAAGACAAGCAAUUAGUAAGUGACUACUCUAGCUAACCAUGAAGUUGUUCUAUUGGUCAAUCAACACGCUUUGAAGAAAAAGUUCCAGAUAAGUGUUUUGAGAAGCUCUCAUUGGAAGUAGUAAAAAUCAUGCUAGAGGCUGUGCUUUCUUUAGCCCUGAAAGUGUGGGGGUGCUUUCUUGUAGGAAAGACAUAACCGCAUGGAGAAGUGCUAUAGAGCGAUGACAAAUAACUUUGGAUCAGAAAUUGUUACGCAACUCAAAAUAAGCUAUGAUGGAUUGGAGCAAGAGAUAUUUCUAGAUAUGGUAUGUUUCUCUCGAGGGUAUGAUGAAUAUUACAUCAUAAAUAUCCUUGAGAGUUGUCGAUUUGAACUUACUAUCGGAUUGAGUGUCCUAAUUGAAAAAUCUCUUGUGUUCGUCUCUGAAGAAUAUACAAUGAAAUGCAUGAUUUGAUAAAAAGUUAUGGGUAAAUAUCUUGCUACUAUGAAAAAUGAUGCCGAAACAUAGCAUACUACGGCGCAUUGAAGAUUUGAACUUAGCAAAUUGCAAGAUGCUUAAAGAGCUUCCAGUAUUUCCACCAAAAAUAGCUACCGUGAAUGUAAAUUUUAAGGUGGCUCUGAAAAGUAUUCAGAAUUUGGUGGCCAGGUACAAGAAAUCACAGCUUGUAUUAUUUACACCCAUGUAUGAUGAGUAUGAUGUGUUCAAUGCUUUUUUAACUAAUGAUUCCUUAGCACAAAUCCUAUUUCAGUGUAUCUUCUCCCUGCAACAUGCCGUCUCCACUUCUAAUUCCUUGUCUGUCUCAGAGAGUGUUCACCAUGGUGCAUCCUGGUAUAGAGAUCCCAAUUUGGUUCAACCAUAGGGGACUCCGCUGAAAUGAGCUGGUUGCAUAAAAAUUGGGAAUCAAUUGGGCCAGCUGGGACAGCUUGGUAAGGAAUAUGAGGCAGAAAUGGUGGAAGACAAUCCCUGCGUGCAUUUUGUUGUCAAUAGGGAAUGAACGGAAUUCAAGACGGUUUGAGGAUAGUGGUAGCUGUAUUCAGAAAAAUAAGAUGAUUUGUCUUCUUCUGUUGUUUUUGUGUAAAGAAGAAUUAGUUGAUGAUGCAGAAUCUACACUUGGCAUCAUAGGAGCCUUGUAGAAGAACAAGAAUUUUCUUUUUGUUGGUCAGUGAACUGUAAACAUGGAUUCCUGCAGUCUUUCUGAUGAAAUUUUUCAAUAAUAUUGUCACUGUUACCAUUCUCGAAAAAAGAAAUUUUUUUGUGCUUUUCCUUUCCAGUGAUCAAUUGAAAAGGAAAGAGAAGGUUUUACGUUGUUUUGGUGCAUUUUACGGGGACGAAGGAAAAUUGUAAAGUUCAUUAUAGAUUUUUCUUUUCAGCAAAA